UACGGGGGGGGUAAGCGUUGUUCGGAAUUACUGGGCGUAAAGGGCUCGUAGGCGGCCAACUAAGUCAGACGUGAAAUCCCUCGGCUUAACCGGGGAACUGCGUCUGAUACUGGAUGGCUCGAGUUUGGGAGAGGGAUGCGGAAUUCCAGGUGUAGCGGUGAAAUGCGUAGAUAUCUGGAGGAACACCGGUGGCGAAGGCGGCAUCCUGGACCAACACUGACACUGAAAAGCGAAAGCCAGGGGAGCAAACGGG
rnacentral:rRNA from 1 species